rnacentral:lncRNA from 1 species
UUUGCUACGCAGGCUAUUAUCGUCACUGCAAUAAAAUAAUAUGGCUGUCUACUUUCAUUUUAUUGUACCAGAAAGCGACUGUGCAGGUAUACAGUAGUAGUAGGUUUCCGGCCAUCGUUGCCAAGACGGCGACGGCGCAAUGGAAUAAGUCCUUCUGGAUUCAUCCCCGUCCUGUUGGUGCUUCUCUCCAGUGCCGGCGACGAGUCCAUAGAGGUGGGUUUCUGCUUAUGGAGCCCCUGUGCACGAGUCCAUGGCCGUCCGCCACUCUUUUCUUGGUGUUCAUUUUCUGGUGUUCGCCGAGAUAAGAUUGGUGUUGGCCUUUUGUUUCUAGGAUGGAGAGAAAGCUCUGGGUUGCGCGGCGAUGUGGAGGUUGGAUCGAGCUCAUGCUUCCCAUGGCGAUGGUUGUCAUCGACGGCGAGCUCUGAUUCAAGGCCGAGUUUGCUCGGGGCAUGGCCCCGGUCGAUGUGUGUCCUUCGAUGUCUCUACUCAUUUGUUUGGAUGAGUUUCUACCGCGGCUCUGCACAAAGCCUUUAUGCGAUGGAGCGAUCUCGGAUUUAGGGCAGACGUUGCCUGUGUGUGCUGGCUUCCGGCGAUCGGCAGCGGCAGAUGCAGGCGUUUUGGACGAGCAGAGGGUCCAGGGACUUGCUUGUAAUUUUUGUUUUUUUCUAGGGCCCUUUCUGCAAAUAGGUUGAGAUAGCUAUCCUCUGUGUCCUACUGUUGCAUACCUAUAUUUGUACUGGUAUAUGUACAUUUUACUUAAAUUUAAAUCUAAUACAUGUACGUUUGAUCAAAAAAAGGUACUUGUACUUAAUGAGAAUUACCUGCUCUGCUUAAUAUCAAUCAAU